rnacentral:rRNA from 1 species
UACGGAGGGUGCAAGCGUUGUUCGGAAUCAUUGGGCGUAAAGAGCUCGUAGGCGGUCUGUUGCGUCGGCUGUGAAAACCCGGGGGCUCAACCCCGGGUCUGCAUUCGAUACGGGCAGACUAGAGUGUGGUAGGGGAGACUGGAAUUCCUGGUGUAGCGGUGAAAUGCGCAGAUAUCAGGAGGAACACCGAUGGCGAAGGCAGGUCUCUGGGCAUUAACUGACGCUGAGGAGCGAAAGCAUGGGGAGCGAACAGG